CCCGGAAGCGGAAAUGGCAGCGCCCAGGGCGGAGCGGCUCCGGGAGCGGCUCCGGGAGCGGCUCCAGGCCGUACACGUGGAGGUGUCGUGCCCCCCCCCAGCUGUGCCCGGGCAGUUUUCGCCUCGUCGUCGUCUCUGAAAUUUUUCGGGGCCUCAAAACCCUCCAGAGGCACCGGCUCGUUAACGAGGCGCUGGGGGAGGAGCUGGGCCGGAUCCACGCCCUGGAGCACCGGACGCUGACGCCGGAGCAGUGGGAGGAGCAAGGGGGCUCAUUAGCAUAAAUUUGCAUGGAUUUGAAUA